GACGAACGCUGGCGGCGUGCUUAACACAUGCAAGUCGAACGAAGUGGCGAACGGGUGAGUAACGCGUAAUCAACCUGCCCUUCAGAGGGGGACAACAGUUGGAAACGACUGCUAAUACCGCAUACUGAAGGAGGGGUUUGUGUUUGAUUAGCUAGUUGGGGGGGUAACGGCCCACCAAGGCGAUGAUCAGUAGGCGGUCCGGGAGGAUGAACGGGCACAAUGGGAAUGGGACACGGGCCAGACUCCUAACGGAGGCAGCAGGGGGGAAACGUCCGAAAUGGGCGAAAGGCUGACGGAGCAACGCCGCGGGAGUGAUGACGGCCUUCGGGUUGUAAAGCUCUGUUAAUCGGGACGCGGUACCGGAAGAGAAAGCCACGGCUAACUACGUGCCAGCAGCCGCGGUAAUAC
rnacentral:rRNA from 1 species